UACGUAGGGUGCAAGCGUUGUCCGGAAUUAUUGGGCGUAAAGAGCUCGUAGGCGGUUUGUCGCGUCUGCUGUGAAAACGCGAGGCUCAACCUCGCGCCUGCAGUGGGUACGGGCAGACGUGGAGUGGCGGUAGGGGAGAUUGGAAUUCCUGGUGGUAGCGGUGGAAUGCGCAGAUAUCAGGAGGAACACCGAUGGCGAAGGCAGCUCGCUGGGACGUUACUGACACUGAGGCGCGAAAGCGUGGGGAGCGAACAG
rnacentral:rRNA from 1 species